UUGGGACGAAAGUUCUGACGAUCAAAGCGGGGUCGCAAGAUCUCGCGCUACCGGAUGGGCCCGCGCCCGAUUAGCUAGUUGGUGAGGUAACGGCUCACCAAGGCGACGAUCGGUAACCGGCCUGAGAGGGCGAUCGGUCACACCGGAACUGAGACACGGUCCGGACUCCUACGGGAGGCAGCAGUGGGGAAUCUUGCGCAAUGGGCGAAAGCCUGACGCAGCAACGCCGCGUGGAGGAUGAAGGCCCUUGGGUUGUAAACUCCUGUCGGCUGGGAAGAAGUUGUUCGCGACUAAUACUCGCGGGCAUUGACUGUACCAGCAAAGGAAGCCCCGGCUAACUCUGUGCCAGCAGCCGCGGUAAUACAGAGGGGGCCAGCGUUAUUCGGAAUUAUUGGGCGUAAAGGGCGCGUAGGCGGCCAUGCGUGUCUUCCGUGAAAUCCCUCGGCUCAACCGAGGACGUGCGGAAGAAACUGCAAGGCUCGAGUCCGGAAGAGGGGGGCGGAAUUCCCAGUGUAGCGGUGAAAUGCGUAGAUAUUGGGAGGAACACCAGUGGCGAAGGCGGUCCCCUGGGCCGGAACUGACGCUGAGGCGCGAAAGCGUGGGUAGCAAACGGGAUUAGAUACCCCGGUAGUCCACGCCGUAAACGAUGGGCACUUGGUGUCGCGGGUAUCGACCCCUGCGGUGCCGAAGCUAACGCAUUAAGUGCCCCGCCUGGGGAGUACGGUCGCAAGGCUGAAACUCAAAGGAAUUGACGG
rnacentral:rRNA from 1 species